rnacentral:rRNA from 1 species
CUACGGGGCGCAGCAGUGGGGAAUAUUGCACAAUGGAGGAAACUCUGAUGCAGCAACGCCGCGUGGAGGAUGACACUUUUCGGAGCGUAAACUCCUUUUAUAUAGGAAGAAGAUGACGGUACUAUAUGAGUAAGCGCCGGCUAACUCCGUGCCAGCAGCCGCGGUAAUACGGAGGGCGCAAGCGUUACUCGGAAUCACUGGGCGUAAAGAGCGUGUAGGCGGAUUAAAAAGUCAGAAGUGAAAUCCUAUAGCUUAACUAUAGAACUGCUUCUGAAACUCUUAAUCUAGAAUAUGAGAGAGGUAGAUGGAAUUUCUGGUGUAGGGGUAAAAUCCGUAGAGAUCAGAAGGAAUACCGAUUGCGAAGGCGAUCUACUAGAACAUUAUUGACGCUGAGACGCGAAAGCGUGGGGAGCAAACAGGAUUAGAUACCCCCGUAGUC